rnacentral:lncRNA from 1 species
AAAAAUGACAACGUUACUUGACAAAUAACGUAGUGUGAGAAAAGCCCUUCUCUGUGGGAACAAAUCCAGUUUGUCAGAUUUGCUUCUGGGCAGAGCGGUCAGGUUGACAACUUGCAAGCGGGCCUGCAUUCCAAUCGCUGCACUUCUGCUGGGACUGGCUUUGCUCUUGGAGGAGGAAGCGUUUGUAACAGAGUGGGAGUGAGCGUGUGUGCCCGUGUGUGCAUUUCUGGGCGAGGACGCCGCAGCUGGCUGUGCCUGCUUUCAGGAUGGGGGGCAUCUUUCUGCCGGAAACACACAGCGCUCCGAGUGUGAACUGGUGAGGGAGAGAAGACUGCCUUUGCCCUGCUGCUCGUAGAUCCUGAAGCCAGCUGACCGGGCUGAGUCCCUUCUGGCUUUCAGGGCUGCUGACGCCCAGUCUGGAAGCUGCCUGCUUGCUCCUUGGGUGCUAUGGAACCUGCUGACCCCAGAGUGUUACCCUAUUCCUUAGCUGCUGCUUAAGAAGUGUUUUGUGAUUAAAAAGAGAAACAGUGUUG